rnacentral:rRNA from 1 species
AGUGAACGCUGGCGGUAGGCCUAACACAUGCAAGUCGAACGGCAGCACAGUAAGAGCUUGCUCUUACGGGUGGCGAGUGGCGGACGGGUGAGGAAUACAUCGGAAUCUACUUUUUCGUGGGGGAUAACGUAGGGAAACUUACGCUAAUACCGCAUACGACCUACGGGUGAAAGCAGGGGAUCUUCGGACCUUGCGCGAUUGAAUGAGCCGAUGUCGGAUUAGCUAGUUGGCGGGGUAAAGGCCCACCAAGGCGACGAUCCGUAGCUGGUCUGAGAGGAUGAAUCAGCACACUGGAACUGAGACACGGUCCAGACUCCUACGGGAGGCAGCAGUGGGGAAUAUUGGACAAUGGGCGCAAGCCUGAUCCAGCCAUACCGCGUGGGUGAAGAAGGCCUUCGGGUUGUAAAGCCCUUUUGUUGGGAAAGAAAAGCAGCAGGUUAAUACCCCGCUGUUCUGACGGUACCCAAAGAAUAAGCACCGGCUAACUUCGUG